rnacentral:rRNA from 1 species
AUUGAACGCUGGCGGAAUGCUUUACACAUGCAAGUCGAACGGUAGAGGGGGCAACCCCUUGAGAGUGGCGAACGGGUGAGUAAUAUAUCGGAACGUGCCCAGUCGUUGGGGGAUAACGUAGCGAAAGUUACGCUAAUACCGCAUACGAUCUAAGGAUGAAAGCGGGGGAUCGCAAGACCUCGCGCGAUUGGGAGCGGCCGAUAUCAGAUUAGGUAGUUGGUGAGGUAAAGGCUCACCAAGCCAACGAUCUGUAGCUGGGUCUGAGAGGACGACCAGCCACACUGGAACUGAGACACGGUCCAGACUCCUAUGGGAGGCAGCAGUGGGGAAUUUUUGGGACAAUGGACGCAAGUCUGAUCCAGCCAUUCCGCGUGCAGGAUGAAGGCCCUCGGGUU